UUGCAGCUCGGCCAGGAUCCCGUGGGCUUCCUCCAGAACGGCGCUGACCUGGUUCCACACGGCUGUCUCGGCCUCUGUAGGCUGGGCAUCUGAGACGAGAUGAAGGAAAAGAGGACGGGCAGAGAGUCAAUGGGUGAAGGUUUCAUCCAACUACCUAAUGUUGCAAGAGCGGGACUAGAGAGAGUCUGAUAACAAGAAACAACACCCACGACAAAACUCCAUCACACCAUCAGCAAAACCGGUCAAUUCUCCCUUACUGAUGAAUGGACGGACCAUGUGACACGCAUAUCUGGUGUCUGUAAAAAGAGGACAAAAUGAAGAAGAAAGGUAAGAAAAUCACUUUUUUUCUUUUUACAUACACACAAGAUGUUUCAUGUGAGCAUUUAUGACAUAUUUCAUGCCGAAGUUCAGUAUUUAGCAAGUCAUCAUGACCCCCACUGGCAGACCCCAUUCAACAAAAUUGCCGCUUAGCAACGGUUUAUUUUUAGUGUCUGACUCGGACGUAAACGUA